UACGAAGGGGGCUAGCGUUGCUCGGAAUUACUGGGCGUAAAGCGCACGUAGGCGGAUCUUUAAGUCAGGGGUGAAAUCCUGGAGCUCAACUCCAGAACUGCCUUUGAUACUGAGGAUCUUGAGUUCGGGAGAGGUGAGUGGAACUGCGAGUGUAGAGGUGAAAUUCGUAGAUAUUCGCAAGAACACCAGUGGCGAAGGCGGCUUACUGGUCCGGUUCUGACGCUGAGGCGCGAAAGCGUGGGGAGCAAACAGG
rnacentral:rRNA from 1 species